UGCUUCUCAUGAGCACCUAUCUGUCUAUCAGUGACAGUGUUAAGGAUUCGCAUGAGAAGCAGAGUGAACUCGCAGUUAACAGACGGCUUUCUAGGUGGAAGUUGUCCAUGUCUGAUGUGAGACAGUU